AAACUACUCCCUCCGUUCCGAAUUACUUGUCACAAGUAUGGAUGUAUUUAGAUGUAUUUUAGUUUUAGAUACAUCCAUUCUUGCGACGAGUAAUUUGGAACGGAGGGAGUAAUUG
rfam:Triticum urartu cultivar G1812 contig831533, whole genome shotgun sequence.